rnacentral:rRNA from 1 species
UUAGCCCUAAACUUAGAUAGCUACUCAACAAAUCUAUCCGCCAGAGAACUACUAGCAAUAGCUUGAAACUCAAAGGACUUGGCGGUGCUUCACAUCCCUCUAGAGGAGCCUGUUCUAUAAUCGAUAAACCCCGAUAAACCUCACCACCUCUUGCUAAUACAGUCUAUAUACCGCCAUCUUCAGCAAACCCUCAAAAGGAACAACAGUAAGCAAAAGUAUCUUAACAUAAAAAAGUUAGGUCAAGGUGUAACCCAUGAGGUGGAAAGCAAUGGGCUACAUUUUCUACACAAGAAUACUCCACGAAAGUUUUUAUGAAACCAAAGACUAAAGGAGGAUUUAGCAGUAAGC